rnacentral:rRNA from 1 species
UACGGGGGGGGCAAGCGUUGUUCGGAAUUACUGGGCGUAAAGGGUGCGUAGGUGGUGAAGUAAGUCGGAUGUGAAAUCUCGGAGCUUAACUCCGAAACUGCAUUGGAAACUACUUUGCUCGAGGGUUGGAGGGGGGACUGGAAUUCUCGGUGUAGCAGUGAAAUGCGUAGAUAUCGAGAGGAACACCAGUGGCGAAGGCGAGUCCCUGGACAACUCCUGACACUGAGGCACGAAAGCUAGGGGAGCAAACAGG